AGGAUGAGCGUACAUGAGUGUUCACGAUCACAAAAAGAGAAUGAUGUCCAGAUGGGAGAGAUAGCACGCUCUCUGGUGAAGGCAGGGUGUAGUGUGAAUAGCAAGAGCAGUGACUGGGUGAGACAAUAAUGAAGAAGAAGACUUUAUUAUGCAAACAAAUCUGACAAGAUCCAUAGAAUAGCAGAAUUAACAACAAAGUAUAAUAAUAAUAUACUGGUACAGCAAGAUGUCAUCUGGCAUAGCCAAUCUGACGGGGCUGAUGUAUGCU